UUCAACGUCCGUCGAUACUUCUGCAAUGGUGAACAGAAAUACUGUUUGAACUGCAGACUGGACCUCAAAUCAUGUUUUGCAUCGUGAAAUAGCACCCCAGAGCUCAACAGGUUUUCUUUUUCCUGCAAGACUCUAUGGAUUAUUGAGAAACUUGUGAA